UUCGCAGGACGGGCGAUCGCUGGGAGUGAAACGCCCAGAUCAGGAAGCGGAUGGGGGAAUUCGAAAGAAAACUCUGGUUCGAACAGGGGUCUGGUGACGACGCUUCGGGAGGAAAGUCCGGGCUCCACAAGCAAAGGUACUGGCUAACGGCCAGGAACGAAACGGGUGACUUUUUCGUUACGGACAGUGCAACAGAAAAUAGACCGCCUUUAAUUCUAAAGCCUGCAAGGGAUUCGGAAAAAAAGGUAAGGGCGAAACGGUGAGGUAAGAGCUCACCGCUUUUUCAGCGAUGAAAAAGGCAUGGCAAACCCUACCUGGAGCAAGAUCAAAUAGGGAGACGAGGUCGCUGACCACACCGUCUCCGGGUAAGAUCGCUUGAAUGAACGAGUAAUCGUUCGUCUAGAGGAAUGGUCGCCUCCGGAAACUUCGCGCAAGCGGAACUCCGAAGACAAAACCCGGCUUACAGUCCUGCGAAAUAU
rnacentral:RNase_P_RNA from 1 species